AAGGCCAUCCAAUCGACCACGGGCUCACGAAACGUGAUCCCUGCCGCCCUCGAACCACCUCACCGUGCUCCUCUUCACCUCUUCCGGCCCAAAGCCCCAGCGCCGCCGAAACCCCUCCUGCGCCCCCUUCUCGCACCGGAGCACGCCUCGAAGCCCCCCCGCUGCACUGGGCGUGGAGUCGAGAUCCGCCCGCCGCGAUUCCUUCGGCUGAUCGAUCCGAGUCUGCCUACGUGGGGAGCAAGGUGCGUACCUCGCAAGGUGAAAGAUGGGUAUCCUCGAGAGGAUCAAGGAGAUUGAGGCCGAGAUGGCCCGGACGCAGAAGAACAAAGCAACAGAAUAUCAUCUUGGACAACUGAAGGCAAAAAUUGCAAAACUGAGGACACAGUUAUUAGAGCCUCCAAAGGGUGCCAGUGCUGGAGGAGAUGGUUUUGAGGUCACAAAGUUCGGGCACGGUCGUGUUGCGCUUAUAGGGUUUCCCAGUGUUGGAAAGUCAACUCUUUUAACUAUGCUGACCGGGACACAUUCUGAAGCUGCAUCAUAUGAGUUCACAACCCUCACUUGCAUUCCUGGUAUUAUCCAUUACAAUGACACCAAAAUCCAGCUUCUUGAUCUUCCCGGUAUCAUUGAAGGCGCCUCUGAAGGCAAGGGGCGUGGUAGGCAGGUUAUCGCUGUCGCCAAGUCAUCGGAUCUCGUGCUUAUGGUUCUUGACGCCUCAAAAAGUGAAGGGCAUCGCCAAAUAUUAACUAGAGAACUGGAAGCUGUUGGCCUCCGUCUGAACAAAAGGCCUCCUCAGAUAUACUUCAAGAGGAAGAAGACUGGUGGGAUUUCUUUCAACAGCACAGCACCUUUAACUCAUAUUGAUGAGAAGCUCUGCUAUCAGAUACUGCAUGAGUACAAAAUUCAUAAUGCAGAGGUAUUAUUCCGUGAGGAUUCUACUGUGGAUGAUCUGAUUGAUGUGAUUGAAGGAAAUCGGAAGUACAUCAAGUGUGUUUAUGUAUAUAAUAAGAUUGAUGUUGUGGGUAUUGAUGAUGUGGAUAAUCUUGCUCGGCAACCAAAUUCACUUGUUAUCAGCUGCAAUUUGCAGUUGAACUUGGACAGGCUAUUAGCAAGAAUGUGGGAGGAAAUGGGUCUGGUGAGAGUGUAUACAAAGCCGCAGGGUCAGCAGCCCGAUUUCGGAGAUCCAGUGGUUCUUUCUAGUGAUAGGGGCGGUUGCACAGUUGAAGACUUCUGUAAUCACAUCCACAGGAGCUUACUCAAGGAUGUGAAAUAUGUGCUCGUGUGGGGAACGAGUGCUCGGCACUAUCCACAGCAUUGUGGUCUUGGCCAUGGUCUUGAAGACGAGGAUGUGGUCCAGAUAGUGAAGAAGAAGGAAAAAGAGGAGGGCGGACGAGGCCGUUUCAAGUCGCACACCAAUGCACCUGACCGAAUCUCCGACAGGGUGAAGAAAGCUCCUCUCAAGACAUGAUCCCAUCGCCGAUUUGGAACUAGCUGAGCCAGAUGCUAUUUCGGGCGACCAUCAAGCCUGGCAUCUCCGCACAAUCAUAUGACAAAUGUUGCUUUUAUCCAGAUAGUAUAUGUGCUCUCAUGCUGUAUAAGAUGAGGCAGGCUUGUGUACACGCAGUGAGUGUUUUUGCCAGCAAACUUUGCAAAUGAGUUAGUUACAGAUGCCACCUCUUGUUAUCGUACUGUGUUUGGAACAUUAAUUAAUUAAUGGAUUCCACUACAAAUCUGAUUUGAAGUUAUGUUCUCGCAAG
rnacentral:rRNA from 1 species